UAAGCCCUGCUCAGAAGUCAAGAGCAGCAGCGCCGCCGCUCUUCGCGGCCUUUCAUAUUGCAGCGGUUCCUCAUUCUCGUGCCCCGGCCUCUCUGGGCGCCCCAGGACAAAGCCCCCUGAGCCCGGCCGCUCCCUUCCGGCUAAAUCCCCUUCGGGGUCAGUGAGCUACCAGCACCGGGCCGCGCGCCUCUGCUGCUAGCCGUGUGGCUCUUAAAGAGCCGCACACCCCUCCGCACCGCGUGCUCCUCCGACCCUCGCCACCCCUCCCCUCUCCUCCGGAUCUAGCCCCCCACGCCGACGCCUGAGGUCCCUGCUGCCCCGAC
rnacentral:lncRNA from 1 species